AACAAGGUUUCCGUAGGUGAACCUGCGGAAGGAUCAUUGCCGAGGCCCCCGAAAGACAGACCCGCGAACCCGUUCGACAGGCCGCGCCCGGCGGCGCGCGCGCGGCCCCGCCCUCCCGGGGGCGGGGGCGCGCCGCAGCCCGGGCAACGAACCACCCGGCGCGGGACGCGCCAAGGAGAACCCCAACGAGACGAGACGGCACGCCCCCGUUCGCGGGGCGGCGGCCUCUCUCGAGAAGGAACGAAAACGACUCUCGGCAACGGAUAUCUCGGCUCUCGCAUCGAUGAAGAUCCCGCGAACCAUCGAGUCUUUGAACGCAAGUUGCGCCCGAAGCCGUCAGGCCGAGGGCACGUCUGCCUGGGCGUCUCGCAACGCGUCGCCCCCCGACCCCCGUCUGCGGGGGCGCGGGUGGGCGGACACUGGCCCCCCGUGAGCGGCCGCUCGCGGUCGGCCCAAAGACCGAGCCGCCGACGACGGACGGCGCGGCGAGUGGUGGAGCACGACGCUUGCCUGCCGCGCCCGUCGCCGUGGGCGGUCUCGCGCGACCCCGAAGCGGCGAGAGCAUCGACCGCGACCCCAGGUCAGGCGGGAUCACCCGCUGAGUUUAAGCAUA
rnacentral:rRNA from 1 species